GAGUUUGAUCGUGGCUCAGGAUGAACGCUGGCGGCGUGCCUAAUACAUGCAAGUCGAGCGGAAACACUUCGGGUGUCGAGCGGCGGACGGCUGAGUAACACGUAGGAACGUACCCCAAACUGAGGGAUAAGCAUCGGAAACGGUGUCUAAUACCGCAUGUGCUCUAAGGAGUAAAGACUUCGGCGGUUUGGGAACGGCCUGCGCAUGAUUAGCUUGUUGGUGAGGUAAUGGCUCACCCAAGGCUUCGAUCAUUAGCCGGUCUGAGAGGAUGACCAGCCAGACUGGGACUG
rnacentral:rRNA from 1 species